ACCUGAGAGAUCAGCUGUUCCCUUCGGGGACAGAAUGACAGGUGGUGCAUGGUUGUCGUCAGCUCGUGUCGUGAGAUGUUGGGUUAAGUCCCGCAACGAGCGCAACCCUUAUGAUCAGUUGCCAGCAUUCAGUUGGGCACUCUGGUCAGACUGCCGGUGACAAGCCGGAGGAAGGCGGGGAUGACGUCAAAUCAUCAUGCCCCUUAUGACCUGGGCUACACGCGUGCUACAAUGGGUGGUACAACGAGCAGCGAGACCGCGAGGUCAAGCGAAUCUCUAAAAACCAUCCUCAGUUCGGAUUGUAGGCUGCAACUCGCCUGCAUGAAGCUGGAAUCGCUAGUAAUCGUGGAUCAGCACGCCGCGGUGAAUACGUUCCCGGGUCUUGUACACACCGA
rnacentral:rRNA from 1 species